AUUGAUCGCUGGCGGAAUGCUUUACACAUGCAAGUCGAACGGCGGCACGGACUUCGGUCUGGUGGCGAGUGGCGAACGGGUGAGUAACAUAUCGGAACGUAUCCAAUAAUGGGGGAUAACGAGUCGAAAGAUUCGCUAAUACCGCAUACGCCCUACGGGGGAAAGCUGGGGACCUUCGGGCCUGGCGUUAAUGGAGCGGCCGAUAUCUGAUUAGCUAGUUGGUGAGGUAAAGGCUCACCAAGGCGACGAUCAGUAGCUGGUCUGAGAGGACGACCAGCCACACUGGAACUGAGACACGGUCCAGGCUCCUACGGGAGGCAGCAGUGGGGAAUUUUGGACAAUGGGCGCAAGCCUGAUCCAGCCAUUCCGCGUGAGUGAAGAAGGCCUUCGGGUUGUAAAGCUCUUUCGCAAGGGAAGAAAACUUAGCCACUAACAUUGGUUGAGGUUGACGGUACCUUGAUAAGAAGCACCGGCUAACUACGUGCCAGCCGCCGCGGUAA
rnacentral:rRNA from 1 species